CCUACGGGAGGCAGCAGUGGGGAAUCUUGCGCAAUGGGCGAAAGCCUGGCGCAGCCAUGCCGCGUGAAUGAUGAAGGUCUUAGGAUUGUAAAAUCUUUCACCGGGGACGAUAAUGACGGUACCCGGAGAAGAAGCCCCGGCUAACUUCGUGCCAGCAGCCGCGGUAAUACGAAGGGGGCUAGCGUUGCUCGGAAUUACUGGGCGUAAAGGGAGCGUAGGCGGAUAGUUUAGUCAGAGGUGAAAGCCCAGGGCUCAACCUUGGAAUUGCCUUUGAUACUGGCUAUCUUGAGUACGGAAGAGGUAUGUGGAACUCCGAGUGUAGAGGUGAAAUUCGUAGAUAUUCGGAAGAACACCAGUGGCGAAGGCGACAUACUGGUCCGUUACUGACGCUGAGGCUCGAAAGCGUGGGGUAGCAAACAGGAUUAGAUACCCUGGUAGUCCACGCUGUAAACGAUGAGUGCUAGUUGUCGGCAUNNANNCAUGUCGGUGACGCGAGCUACGACAUAAGUACACUCCGCCGUCGGGUAGGUACGGUACGGCGACGAAUUAAACUUAACGAACGAAGUUAGUACGGCGUGAGACGUGCCGACGGACGACGACGAGGGAGGUAGG
rnacentral:rRNA from 1 species